rnacentral:rRNA from 1 species
UACAGAGGGGGCAAGCGUUGUUCGGAAUUACUGGGCGUAAAGGGCGCGUAGGCGGUGUUGUAAGUCACUUGUGAAAUCUCUGAGCUUAACUCAGAACGGCCAAGUGAUACUGCAGCACUAGAGUGCAGAAGGGGCAAUCGGAAUUCUUGGUGUAGCGGUGAAAUGCGUAGAUAUCAAGAGGAACACCUGAGGUGAAGACGGGUUGCUGGGCUGACACUGACGCUGAGGCGCGAAAGCUAGGGGAGCAAACGGG